rnacentral:rRNA from 1 species
CGUAAUUGGAAACGAUAGCUAAUACCGCAUAACAAUGGAUGACACAUGUCAUUUAUUUGAAAGGGGCAAAUGCUCCACUACAAGAUGGACCUGCGUUGUAUUAGCUAGUAGGUGAGGUAACGGCUCACCUAGGCGACGAUACAUAGCCGACCUGAGAGGGUGAUCGGCCACACUGGGACUGAGACACGGCCCAGACUCCUACGGGAGGCAGCAGUAGGGAAUCUUCGGCAAUGGGGGCAACCCUGACCGAGCAACGCCGCGUGAGUGAAGAAGGUUUUCGGAUCGUAAAGCUCUGUUGUAAGUCAAGAACGAGUGUGAGAGUGGAAAGUUCACACUGUGACGGUAGCUUACCAGAAAGGGACGGCUAACUACGUGCCAGCAGCCGCGGUAAUACGUAGGUCCCGAGCGUUGUCCGGAUUUAUUGGGCGUAAAGCGAGCGCAGGCGGUUUGAUAAGUCUGAAGUUAAAGGCUGUGGCUCAACCAUAGUUCGCUUUGGAAACUGUCAAACUUGAGUGCAGAAGGGGAGAGUGGAAUUCCA